rnacentral:lncRNA from 1 species
AUGCAAACUGACCCAUCGCUUUCCGGGGAAAAUUACCAAGCAGAAAAGAAAUGUUCAGACAUCCAAAGAAUUGUAAAAUCAAAGCUCUUAUGCCCUUUUCUCCUGCCAGGAUUAAAACGGGAUGGAUGAUGGUGUCUGUGGGAAGCAUGGCAUGAGGUGAAGGGAAGAAAGGAAAACCCCAGAAGAUGGGAAGACAGCCAAGCUUUAGAAAGCUUUUUUUUUUUUUUUUUUUUUUUUUUUUUAAUGAAACAAUUAAAUAGAGAAGAUUUAAAAAUAAUUUGACUGUUGCAUUGCAGCUCCAGUUUCUUUCCUGGGAAAAGUGAAUUAACUUCAAAUGCUGAACAUUG